ACAGAGGGUGCAAACGUUGCUCGGAAUUACUGGGCGUAAAGCGCGUGUAGGCGGGUUUCCAAGUCAGAUGUGAGAUCCCUGGGCUCAACCCAGGAACUGCAUUUGAAACUGGGAGUCUUGAGUAUCGGAGAGGAAAGCGGAAUUCCUGGUGUAGAGGUGAAAUUCGUAGAUAUCAGGAGGAACACCGGUGGCGAAGGCGGCUUUCUGGACGAUAACUGACGCUGAGACGCGAAAGCGUGGGGAGCAAACAGGA
rnacentral:rRNA from 1 species